GGUGGGCAUAUCUCAUGGUUCGGAUCCUGCAUUGAGCUGUUGUUUUUAUUUUUAUUUUUAAAAUCAUGUAUGUCUAUAUUAAAUGUGUUUUUUAGAUCCAAACCAUGAGAUAUGCCCAC